CAGAAUCACCGAUAUUUAAGUAUGGGUGGAGAGAGCGGGGAGAGCAAACGAUUCGUCGUCCUCCGCCCGGCGUGAUGUGACGUAGUGGUUCUC